UACAGAGGUCUCAAGCGUUUGUUCGGAUUCAUUGGGCGUAAAGGGUGCGUAGGCGGCGUGGUAAGUCGGGUGUGAAAUCUCGGAGCUUAACUCCGAAACUGCAUUCGAUACUGCCGUGCUUGAGGACUGGAGAGGAGACUGGAAUUUACGGUGUAGCGGUGAAAUGCGUAGAUAUCGUAAGGAAGACCAGUGGCGAAGGCGGGUCUCUGGACAGUUCCUGACGCUGAGGCACGAAGGCCCAGGGGAGCAAACGGG
rnacentral:rRNA from 1 species